ACCUGCAUUCAAAAGUGACCAUGGGCUGUCUGUGCUCUGGUCAUCCAUAAUGCAGGGAGAAGAAUUGCUGAAAGCCAUUUCCCGUGUUUGAGGGGUUCAUGCCUGUCCCUUUCAAAUGCUGGUGCUUUCACACA
ensembl:snoRNA SNORA71 Small nucleolar RNA SNORA71